rnacentral:rRNA from 1 species
AGUGAACGCUGGCGGUAGGCCUAACACAUGCAAGUCGAACGGCAGCACAGUAAGAGCUUGCUCUUACGGGUGGCGAGUGGCGGACGGGUGAGGCAUACAUCGGAAUCUACUUUUUCGUGGGGGAUAACGUAGGGAAACUUACGCUACUACCGCAUACGGCCUACGGGUGAAAGCAGGGGAUAUUCGGACCUUGCGCGUUUGAUUGAGCCGAGGUCGGAGUAGCUAGGUGGCGGGGUAACGGCCCACCAAGGCGACGAUCCGUAGCUGGUCUGAGAGGGUGAUCAGCCACACUGGAACUGAGACACGGUCCAGACUCCUACGGGAGGCAGCAGUGGGGAAUAUUGGACAAUGGGCGCAAGCCUGAUCCAGCCAUACCGCGUGGGUGAAGAAGGCCUUCGGGUUGUAAAGCCCUUUUGUUGGGAAAGAAAAGCAGCAGGUUAAUACCCCGCUGUUCUGACGGUACCCAAAGAAUAAGCACCGGCUAACUUCGUG